rnacentral:rRNA from 1 species
GACAGAGGUCCCGAGCGUUAGGCGGAAUCACUGGGCUUAAAGCGUGUGUAGGCGGAGUGCUAAGUACCUUGUGAAAUCCCACGGCUCAACCGUGGAACUGCUGGGCAUACUGCGGGUCUUGGGCCAACUAGGGGCAGCCGGAACAAGCGGUGGAGCGGUGAAAUGCGUAGAUAUCGCUUGGAACGCCGAAGGUGAAAACAGGCUGCUGGGGUUGCGCCGACGCUGAGACACGAAAGCCAGGGGAGCAAACGGG